rnacentral:rRNA from 1 species
CUACGGGAGGCAGCAGUGGGGAAUCUUGCGCAAUGGGCGAAAGCCUGACGCAGCAACGCCGCGUGUGUGAUGAAGGUCUUCGGAUCGUAAAGCACUGUCGGGAGGGACGAAUAAGGUGACGGCUAACAUCCGUCGCUGAUGACGGUACCUCCAAAGGAAGCACCGGCUAACUCUGUGCCAGCAGCCGCGGUAAUACAGAGGGUGCUAGCGUAGUUCGGAAUUAUUGGGCGUAAAGCGCGUGUAGGCGGCCAGGCAAGUUGGGUGUGAAAGCCCUCGGCUUAACCGAGGAAGUGCGCCCAAAACUACUUGGCUUGAGUACCGGAGAGGGUGGCGGAAUUCCCGGUGUAGAGGUGAAAUUCGUAGAUAUCGGGAGGAACACCAGUGGCGAAGGCGGCCACCUGGACGGAUACUGACGCUGAGACGCGAAAGCGUGGGGAGCAAACAGGAUUAGAUACCCCCGUA